GCCGGGCGUGGUGGUGCGCACCUGUAAUCCCAGCUACUUGGGAGGCUGAGGUAGGAGAAUUGCUUGAACCUGGGACAUGGAGGUUGCAGUGAGCUGAGACUGCGCCACUGCAGUCUAGCCUGGGCGACAGAGCAAGACUCCAUCUCAA
rnacentral:SRP_RNA from 1 species